rnacentral:rRNA from 1 species
ACGGGUGAGUAACACGUGGGUAACCUGCCCUUGAGAGGGGGAUAACAGGGUCGAAAGGCCUGGCUAAUACCCGCAUAAACGCUAAGAAAGCUUGCAUGGGCGUCUUAGCCAAAGGGUUAAUUCCGCUCAAGGGAUGGGGCCCCGCGGCCCCAUUAGCUAGUUUGGUGAAGGUAAUGGGCUCACCCAAGGGCGACGAAGGGGUAGCCGGGCCUGAGAGGGGUGGGUCGGCCCACACUGGGGACUGAGACACGGCCCAGACUCCCUACGGGAGGCAGCAGUGGGGGAAUAUUUGCGCAAUGGGGGGAAACCCCUGACGCAGCGACGCCCGCGUGAGCGAUGAAGGCCUUUCGGGGUUGUAAAGCUCCCGUCUUCCCUGACGAUAAUGACGGUAAGGGGAGAGGAGGAAGCCCACGGCUAAACUACGUGCCAGCAGCCGCGGUAAUAACGUAGGUGGGCGAGCGUUGUCCGGGAAUUACUGGGCGGUAAAGGGUGCGUAGGCGGCUCUUUAAAGUGGGGAUGUGAAAUCCCUGGGCUCAACCCAGGAACUGCAUUCCAAACUGGAGAGCUAGAGUGCAGGAGAGGAAAGCGGAAUUCCCAGUGUAGCGGUGAAAUGCGUAGAGAUUGGGAGGAACACCAGUGGCGAAGGCGGCUUUCUGGACUGUAACUGACGCUGAUGGCACGAAAGCGUGGGGAGCAAACAGGAUUAGAUACCCUGGUAGUCCACGCUGUAAACGAUGGGUACUAGGUGUAGGGGGCGAAGCCCUCUGUGCCGCAGCUAACGCAUUAAGUACCCCGCCUGGGGAGUACGGUCGCAAGAUU